rnacentral:rRNA from 1 species
GCAUAUUGGCUAUGGAUGUUAAAGGCGCGAGUUGCCUGGGGAUGAGUCUGCGUUCUAUCAGCUAGUUGGUGGGGUAAGAGCCUACCAAGGCGAAGACGGAUAGCUGGUCUGAGAGGAUGAUCAGCCACACUGGCACUGAGACACGGGCCAGACUCCUACGGGAGGCAGCAGUAGGGAAUAUUGCGCAAUGGGCGAAAGCCUGACGCAGCGACGCCGCGUGAGUGAAGAAGGCCCUCUGGGUUGUAAAGCUCUGUAAGAGGGGAAGAAAAGGCCCGCAAGGGAGAUUGACGGUACCCUCAAAGUAAGGACCGGCUAAAUAAGUGCCAGCAGCCGCGGUAAUACUUAUGGUCCGAGCGUUGUCCGGAAUGACUGGGCGUAAAGGGUGCGUAGGCGGCCACAUAUGUCAGGUGUGAAAUCCCCGGGCUUAACCUGGGAACGGCGCUUGAAACUGUGUGGCUGGAGUAUGUGAGAGGUAAGCGGAAUUCCCGGAGUAGCGGUGAAAUGCGUAGAGAUCGGGAAGAACAUCAGUGGCGAAGGCGGCUUACUGGCACAUAACUGACGCUGAGGCACGAAAGCGUGGGGAGCGAACGGGAUUAGAUACCCCGGUAGUCCACGCCGUAAACGAUGUAUACUAGAUGUCAGGUUGAUAUACAAACUUGGUGUCGAAGCUAACGCGAUAAGUAUACCGCCUGGGGAGUACGGUCGCAAGAUUAAAACUCAAAGGAAUUGACGGGGGCCCGCACAAGCGGUGGAGCAUGUGGUUUAAUUCGAUGCAACGCGCAGAACCUUACCCGGUCUUGACAUCCUCUGGACGGACUUUAGAGAUAGAGUCUUCUUCUUCGGAAGCUGGAGUGACAGGUGCUGCAUGGCUGUCGUCAGCUCGUGUUGUGAGAUGUUGGGUUAAGUCCCGCAACGAGCGCAACCCUUGCCUUUAGUUGCCAUCAUUAAGUUGGGCACUCUAGAGGGACUGCCCGGGUCAACCGGGAGGAAGGCGGGGACGACGUCAAGUCCUCAUGGCCCUUAUGACCGGGGCUACACACGUGCUACAAUGGUAAGGACAAACUGAAGCGAGACGGUGACGUUUAGCGAAUCAUAAAAACCUUAUCUUAGUUCGGAUUGGAGUCUGCAACUCGACUCCAUGAAGCUGGAAUCGCUAGUAAUCGCGGAUUAGCAUGCCGCGGUGAAUACGUUCCCGGGCCUUGUACAC